rnacentral:rRNA from 1 species
UGGGGAAUAUUGCACAAUGGGCGCAAGCCUGAUGCAGCAACGCCGCGUGAGUGAUGAAGGCCUUCGGGUUGUAAAACUCUGUCCUAUGGGAAGAAACAAAUGACGGUACCAUGGGAGGAAGCCCCGGCUAACUACGUGCCAGCAGCCGCGGUAAUACGUAGGGGGCAAGCGUUAUCCGGAAUCACUGGGCGUAAAGGGUGCGUAGGUGGCUUAUCAAGCCAGAGGUGAAAGGCAGUGGCUCAACCAUUGUAAGCCUUUGGAACUGAUUAGCUUGAGUGCAGGAGAGGUAAGUGGAAUUCCUAGUGUAGAGGUGAAAUUCGUAGAUAUUAGGAGGAACACCAGUGGCGAAGGCGACUUACUGGACUGUAACUGACACUGAGGCACGAAAGCGUGGGUAGCG